CUGGAGAGCUGGCGUGGACCUGUCUCUGGGGUCCAGUGGGGCUUCAGUGCAGCAGCCAGCAGUCUCCCUGUCAGAGUUCUCUCUGCUCUGCUCCCUCUCACCGUGCAGGCUGUCUACUGAUGCCGGAGCCGGAAUAUGACGUAAUUUUCUGGCUCCCAGCUCCCUCGCCGCAUUUGACAGGGAGACAGGCUCCCGCUGGGGUGGGGGGUGUCCAAUCAGGCCACCUCUUGGGCCCCCCCUCCCCCAUGACAGGGGAGUUUUUUGCCACCCACUGAGUGCCUGCAGGAGCAACGGUAACAGUGUUCCUGCUGUGAAAAAGUGCUGGAACCUCUGUAAAAUAAAAAUUAUAUAUUCUAUUUGGUUUUUACGUUCAAGCCUUUUGUUAAAGACGGUGGGUUAUUUUAGUUAUUUAAAGACUAAAUCAGGAUUGCAGUCAAAUUUCCAUUACACUCCCUCCCUAAAAGUAACUCACAAAAUUUCAAGGAAAUCUAGAGAAGCAAUGUAAACUCUAAUUUAAAUCAAGGUCAUCCUACAGCUUUAAAAAUAAGGCUUUUUUUAAUUAGGUAACUUAUGCAGAGAUGCAAGCUCCUCCCCAUCACUUCCAGUUUUUUACUUAACAUGUUGCCCAUGAUGUCCACGUGAUACUUGCUUCUUUUCUCUGACCAGUUAUUGGAGAGCAUCAGUCUGAACUUUGCCUUUUCAUUGGUUGCACUUACAGAUUUCCGAUAAGUGUAACUAGCAUCAGCCAAUCAGCAGCAAGACCAAUCACAGGCCUGCAUUAGCACAAAACUAGUUAGAGCUUAUUAAAUAACUGAACACUGAUACAUUUUAAGGUAAGUAUUAGUGUUCUAUCAGUCAGUAGUUAGCUGGCUCCUCUGCUCAAUGAGGUAUAAAAGAACCAGUCGUCAUUACCCCCUAUAGAUGACCUGAGGGCAGCAACUGAGUGUCCCCAGCC